ensembl:lncRNA novel transcript, sense intronic to FOXK1
GGAGCCCAGCCAGCCAGGGGGACACGGCCUCCUGCCCACAGGCAGAGGCCCGGGGCCAGAUGUCCGCUUUCUCUUUCGCUCCGCAGGAGUGAGAAGCAAGGACCUCACUGCCUUUGUGCGGCCGGGCCCCUCCGGCCAGUCUGCGUGAACGGACUCUCCGGGCCUCGCCCAUGCUCCGGGCGUGUGGCUGUGUUGGGAGGACGGGAGCUCUACUGCUUGGCAGUGGACACACCAAGGCUGCCGACUGGCCCAGUGGGUGGCGAUGCCACUUACAUGUGAUUUCUCAAUCUCCGUCAACUGCCGUGGCUGCCCGGGCUGGGCUGCCCUGUAGGUUUCAGUUCUUCAGGGCAACAGGCUGGGAUCCAGGCAAGGUGCCUGCACUCAGAGGGGUAGGGAGCCAGGGGCACAUGUGCUGGGCGUGGGCUGGGGCUUCUGGCUGGCAGGGGUGUGGGUUUGGGCCUGGUGGGAUUCCCCAUAUUAGGAAGGUGAGCUGAGCUCGGCUGCAGUGGCUGAAGCAAGGAAGUGAUUUGUCAAGCCAUUUAGACACUGUCCCUGUUUUCUUUCAACAAACAGAACUUUUUUUUUUUUUAAGCAGCGAAGACCUUUUGCUCUCUGUUGGGGUGUGAUUGGGGUUUGCAUUUGGGGGCUCUCUUGAGCUUUGCCGCUGUCUUCAAGGAUGGUAUCUAAAGGGAAAGUCUUAAAAUAAAUAACUUUGAAUUUGGAUAGGAAUGUCUAUGCAGUGAGGGACAGGAGGCUUCCGUGUGUUUCACUAGAACGUUCUUGUUUUUGGCCUACGAAUGCUUUUACUUAGGAAGCACGAGACCUGUGCUGCAGACCGUCUGUUGGAGCUGGCCGCGGCAGGACGGCGAUCACCUUCCUGGCAGGCCCCUCCUGGAUUCUGCCCUCUGCUUCUGAAAGCGUUUCCUCCAUCAGCUUUAGCAAAACUGGGCCUGGCAGAUCAUUUGAAGUCAGGAGUUCGAGACCAGCCUGACCAACAUGAUGAAACCCUGUCUCUACUAAAAAUACAAAAAAGUUAGCCGGGCACAGUGGCACGUGCCUGUAGUCUCAGCUACUCAGGAGGCUGAGGCAGGAGAAUCGCUUGAACCCGAGAGGUGGAGGUUGCAGUGAGCCAAGAUUGUGACAUUGCACUCCAGCCUGGACGACAGAGCGAGACUCCGUCUCAAAAAAAAAAAAACCGUGCCUGGGCCUUGGAGGUGCCUGAGUCCAGAAGACAGACAGCGGGAGCUCACUCCUGCCAUGUCGCUCUUGUUUCUUCUCCCCUCUGCAGGGCGGCAGCUGCUUUGCCCUCAAGACUUCUCUUUUCGCCCACUCUAUUCAUAGGGGGAAAUGACAACACAGGCGCUUUCCCUCAAACUCUGUGUAUUCAUACAUCACCAGAGUGUUCAGAGAAGUGGGAUAUUUUGGCUUCAGUGCUGAGGGCGGCCUGCUGUCCGUCCCUGCGGCAGACUGGGCCCUGUCCCACCUUCCCGUCACUCCUCGAUGUCACAUCAGAGUGCUCUCUCCUGGGUGGGAACCCGCGCACGGAGGAAACACUUUACCAGAGUAAACGAGAUUAUAACUUGUUUGCCAGAGAACCUCUCCUGUGGCCAUGCCUGAACCUCUCCUGGGACUGUCCGUGGUCUUCACAUUGGUGCUUGGACACCCGUCCUUCGGGAGGGGAGGAAAAGCGGCCGGUAAAAUGGAGACAGUCGGUGGCGUGUGUUUGCCGAUUGGACUGGCAUUGGUAUAGACAGAUACCAAUCACUGCACAGACAUUUCCAGGGGCCCUUCCCCAGCCAUGUUUAGUGGCACUGACCUCAGGCAGCUGGGCCCCCGGGACAGCAACCAGGGGACUGCCCUGGCCCUGGAUGGCAGCCGGGACCGGCUCACAAGCUUCUGUUUGGAGCAGUUCUGUUGGCAGCCCCCCGCCUCCAGUGGAGAUGUGACACGACUCUUUCUUGCCUGCCAAACGUUCUCUGAUUCUUUGGAUCAUCGAUCCUAACACAGCAAAGGCGGUAUUGUUGCUGUCCUUUCAAGGUUAAUCCAGGAUCAGAAAAGUCUAAUCAUUUCUCUGUGGUUUUUGGAAUUUCCAAAGAGCACCCAGAUUUUAACCCUCAGUCCUCGGGGUUGUCCGGCUGCGGCUGUGCUGCUGUUGAGCAUUAAGCUCAUUCCACUUCACAUGUAAACUUGUUUCUAUGCAUUCACCUCCUGGGAGACUCCACAUUCCUGAGAGAACUGCAUGGUUAUGAACUCUUACUCGUGUGCACUAAAGUGCACGUGCUGUGUGUGUACUGACCCUCUGCCCUGUGGGAGCCACGUGCUGUGGGGAGAACAGACCAGCAGCAGAUGGGACUCCUCCUCCAGGAACCUGCUACCAGCUAGGCGUGGUGGUGCAAGCCUAUACUUCUGGCACUUUGGGAGGCUGUGGCAGGAGGAUCACUUGAGGCCAGGAAUUUGAGGCCAGCCUGGGCAACAUAGUGAGACCACGU